AUACGUAUGGUGCAAGCGUUAUCCGGAUUUACUGGGCGUAAAGGGCGUGUAGGCGGUCUUGCAAGUCAGAAGUGAAAUUCCUGAGCUCAACUCGGGCGCUGCUUCUGAAACUGCAGGACUUGAGUGCUGGAGGGGAUAGCGGAAUUCCUAGUGGAGCGGUAAAAUGCGCAGAUAUUAGGAGGAACACCGGUGGCGAAGGCGGCUAUCUGGACAGUAACUGACGCUGAGGCGCGAAAGCACGGGGAGCAAACAGGAUUAGAUACCCUGGUAGUCCGUGCCGUAAACGAUGAAUACUAGGUGUAGGGGGUAUCGACUCCCUCUGUGCCGCAGUUAACACAUUAAGUAUUCCACCUGGGGAGUACGGCCGCAAGGUUGAAACUUAAAGGAAUUGACGGGG
rnacentral:rRNA from 1 species